UGGGGCAGAGAGAAGAGCGGGCAGAUCUAGUCCUCUCACGGCUUAUUCAAAUGAGAUGCAUUUUCGCAUGAGGAAAGAGAGGACGAUGGCAUUCAACUAAUCUUCAUGUAUGAUGUUUCUCUCCAAUCGUGGUGUACACGGAUCUUAACAGCCCACGUCAGGAAAUGAAAGAAGACAUUCCUACAUUGUAAUCACCUCUUGAACAUCUGUUGGUGGCUGCAUGGUUGGGCACCAACAAGCUGAGAAACACAGGGAUGAUCACACCCAAGCAUUCCGAAGGAACACAGCAAAGAUAAACCAGGAACUGGAGAUGGUCUAUCUAAGAAUCCAUGUGACCUUCAAGCUGAGAAAUAUGACUGAUAUUAAGAGCAUUGUUGCCAUUCCCAGUGGUCUUGAUGGACACAAUUUUUUCAUGCAAAAUAAAUCAUAGAGAAAAGCAAAUACAUUAUAGAGAACAAACAUGUCAACCCUGUAGCUGUCCUGGAUGACACUCAGCUGAUGGAGGUCUUGUGGGCUGAAAUGCUUUGUGUUUAGUCAAAACAAAAAAAAUAAUACAUAACUGUGAGUGAGAAUCAUGUCAAGAAUAGUUGGGUGUUUAUUUAUGUGCAUGAGCACAUGCACAAUUGUUUUUGUUUUCC